GACGAACGCUGGCGGCGUGCCUAAUACAUGCAAGUCGAGCGGACUAAUGGGAGCUUGCUCCCGUUAGUUAGCGGCGGACGGGUGAGUAACACGUGGGCAACCUACCUGUAAGACUGGGAUAACUUCGGGAAACCGGAGCUAAUACCGGAUGACAUAAAGGAACUCCUGUUCCUUUAUUGAAAGAUGGCUUCGGCUAUCACUUACAGAUGGGCCCGCGGCGCAUUAGCUAGUUGGUGAGGUAACGGCACACCAAGGCGACGAUGCGUAGCCGACCUGGGAGGGUGAUCGGCGACACGGGGACUGGGACACGGCCCAGACUCCUACGGGAGGCAGCAGUAGGGAAUCUUCCGCAAUGGACGAAAGUCUGACGGAGCAACGCCGCGUGAGCGAUGAAGGCCUUCGGGUCGUAAAGCUCUAUUGUUAGGGAAGAAUAAGUGCUAGUUGAAUAAGCUGGCACCUUGACGGUACCUAACCAGAAAGCCACGGCUAACUACGUGCCAGCCGCCGCCGUAACAC
rnacentral:rRNA from 1 species